rnacentral:rRNA from 1 species
GGUGGAUUAGUGGCGCACGGGUGAGUAAUAUAUAGAUAACGUGCCUCUUAGUCUGGGAUAGCCAUUGGAAACGAUGAUUAAUACUAGAUACUCCUUCUAACUCUAAUGUUAGUUGGGAAAGUUUUUCGCUAAGAGAUCGGUCUAUAUCCCAUCAGCUAGUUGGUAGUGUAAGAGACUACCAAGGCAAUGACGGGUAGCGGGUUUGAGAGGAUGAUCCGCCACACUGGUACUGAGACACGGACCAGACUCCUACGGGAGGCAGCAGUGAGGAAUAUUGCACAAUGGAGGAAACUCUGAUGCAGCAACGCCGCGUGGAGGAUGACGCAUUUCGGUGUGUAAACUCCUUUUAUAUGUCAAGAAAAUGACGGUAGCAUAUGAAUAAGCACCGGCUAACUCCGUGCCAGCAGCCGCGGUAAUACGGAGGGUGCAAGCGUUAUUCGGAAUCACUGGGCGUAAAGGACGCGUAGGCGGGAUGCCAAGUCUGAUGU